GGAGAACCUUCGUUAAGGAAUUAGGCAAAUUAGAUCCGUAACUUCGGGAGAAGGAUCGCCUCUGUAGGAUGAAGCCGACUAGCUCGGUUGAGUCUGACGAGGCCGCAGUAGAAAUGGCUCUAUCGACUGUUUUACCAAAAACACAGGUCUGUGCGAAGUCGUGAGACGAAGUAUACAGGUUGACGCCUGCCCAGUGCCGGAAGGUUAAGGGGAGAGGUUAACGCUUUGAACCGAAGCCCCGGUGAACGGCGGCCGUAACUAUAACGGUCCUAAGGUAGCGAAAUUCCUUGUCCGGGUAAGUUCCGACCCGCACGAAAGGCGUAACGAAUGGAGCACUGUCUCAACGAAGGACCCGGUGAAACUGAACUAGGAGUGAAGGAUGCUCUUUACCCGCAGCAGG
rnacentral:rRNA from 1 species